rnacentral:rRNA from 1 species
UACGUAGGGUGCAAGCGUUAUCCGGAAUUAUUGGGCGUAAAGAGCUCGUAGGCGGUUUGUCGCGUCUGCUGUGAAAACUGGAGGCUCAACCUCCAGCCUGCAGUGGGUACGGGCAGACUAGAGUGCGGUAGGGGAGAUUGGAAUUCCUGGUGUAGCGGUGGAAUGCGCAGAUAUCAGGAGGAACACCGAUGGCGAAGGCAGAUCUCUGGGCCGUAACUGACGCUGAGGAGCGAAAAGCAUGGGGGAGCGAACAGG